rnacentral:rRNA from 1 species
AGAGUUUGAUCCUGGCUCAGGACGAACGCUGGCGGCGUGCCUAACACAUGCAAGUCGAGCGGAGGAUUCAAGAUGUUUACAUCGCGGAUCCUUAGCGGCGGACGGGUGAGUAACACGUGGGUAACCUGCCUCAAAGUGGGGGAUAGCCUUUCGAAAGGAAGAUUAAUACCGCAUAAGCCUCCGGUACCGCAUGGCGCUGAAGGAAAAGGAGCAAUUCGCUUUGAGAUGGACCCGCGGCGCAUUAGCUAGUUGGUGAGGUAACGGCUCACCAAGGCCACGAUGCGUAGCCGACCUGAGAGGGUGAUCGGCCACAUUGGAACUGAGACACGGUCCAGACUCCUACGGGAGGCAGCAGUGGGGAAUAUUGCACAAUGGGCGAAAGCCUGAUGCAGCAACGCCCCGUGAGUGAUGAAGCCUCGGGUCGUAAACUCUUUUGAUCAGGGAUGAUAAUGACAGUACCUGAAAAACAAGCCACGGCUAACUACUUCCACCACCGCCGUAAUACCUUUGUGGCAACGUUUGUCCGGAAUUACUGGGCUUAAGGAUC